UUUUUUUUUUUUCUUUGAGAAGUGGAGAAAAAAGGAUGUCCACCUUUACGUCUCAUUGGGAGUGACUGCUGUAGGUAUGACUGUAUUAGGACUUCUCACGGGUGACACUGCUCGUUACAACAGAAAUCCUAUCAAAGGAAUUGCAUUUAAACGCACUGAUUCACACCUUGGCAUCCUGCCAGAUCUCUGCUCUCUUGUACAUAGAGCUAAACAAAGCACAGUCAUCUAUAUAUCUAGACAAGAGGUGGAUCCCCUCAAC